rnacentral:rRNA from 1 species
UACGUAGGGGGCAAGCGUUGUCCGGAAUUAUUGGGCGUAAAGAGCGUGUAGGCGGCCAGAUAAGUCCGCUGUGAAAUCUCGAGGCUCAACUUCGAGCUGUCGGUGGAAACUAUCUGGCUAGAGUCCGGAAGAGGAGAAUGGAAUUCCUGGUGUAGCGGUGAAAUGCGCAGAUAUCAGGAAGAACACCCGUGGGGAAGGCGGUUCUCUGGGACGGUACUGACGCUGAGACGCGAAAGCGUGGGGAGCGAACAGG